rnacentral:rRNA from 1 species
GGUUAAGCGACUAAGCGUACACGGUGGAUGCCCUGGCAGUCAGAGGCGAUGAAGGGCGUGCUAAUCUGCGAUAAGCGCCGGUAAGGUGAUAUGAACCGUUAUAACCGGCGAUACCCGAAUGGGGAAACCCAGUGUGAUUCGUCACACUAUCAUUAACUGAAUCCAUAGGUUAAUGAGGCGAACCGGGGGAACUGAAACAUCUAAGUACCCCGAGGAAAAGAAAUCAACCGAGAUUCCCCCAGUAGCGGCGAGCGAACGGGGAGGAGCCCAGAGCCUGAAUCAGCAUGUGUGUUAGUGGAAGCGUCUGGAAAGGCGCGCGAUACAGGGUGACAGCCCCGUACACAAAAGCGCAUGUGCUGUGAGCUCGAUGAGUAGGGCGGGACACGUGGUAUCCUGUCUGAAUAUGGGGGGACCAUCCUCCAAGGCUAAAUACUCCUGACUGACCGAUAGUGAACCAGUACCGUGAGGGAAAGGCGAAAAGAACCCCGGCGAGGGGAGUGAAAAAGAACCUGAAACCGUGUACGUACAAGCAGUGGGAGCCCC